rnacentral:rRNA from 1 species
CCUACGGGAGGCAGCAGUGGGGAAUUUUGGACAAUGGGGGCAACCCUGAUCCAGCCAUUCCGCGUGAGUGAAGAAGGCCUUCGGGUUGUAAAGCUCUUUCGCAAGGGAAGAAAACUUAUGAUCGAAUAAAUCAUGAGGUUGACGGUACCUUGAUAAGAAGCACCGGCUAACUACGUGCCAGCAGCCGCGGUAAUACGUAGGGUGCGAGCGUUAAUCGGAAUUACUGGGCGUAAAGCGUGCGCAGGCGGUUUUGUAAGUCGGAUGUGAAAUCCCCGGGCUCAACCUGGGAACUGCGUUCGAAACUGCAAGGCUAGAGUGUGUCAGAGGGGGGUAGAAUUCCACGUGUAGCAGUGAAAUGCGUAGAGAUGUGGAGGAAUACCAAUGGCGAAGGCAGCCCCCUGGGAUAACACUGACGCUCAUGCACGAAAGCGUGGGGAGCAAACAGGAUUAGAUACCCUGGUAGUCCACGCCCUAAACGAUGUCAACUAGUUGUUGGUAGAGUAAAAUCUAUGAGUAACGUAGCUAACGCGUGAAGUUGACCGCCUGGGGAGUACGGUCGCAAGNUUAAAACUCAAAUGAUAGAGCGNGAGAGNGCGAGACGACGACGAGGAGGAGG